GUGCUUGCUUCGGCGGCACAUAUGCUAAAAUUGGAACGAUACAGAGAAGAUUAACAUGGCACGCAAAUUCGUGAAGCGUUCCAUAUUUUU
rnacentral:snRNA from 1 species